rnacentral:rRNA from 1 species
AAACCCACAGGGAUUGCCCUAGUAACGGCGAGUGAAGCGNCAAGAGCUCAAAUUUGAAAUCUGGCCCUCUCAGGGUCCGAGUUGUAAUUUGUAGAGGGCGCUUUGGCGUUGGCCCCGGCCUAAGUUCCUUGGAACAGGACGUCACAGAGGGUGAGAACCCCGUACGUGGCCGCCGGCCUCCGCCGUGUAAAGCCCCUUCGACGAGUCGAGUUGUUUGGGAAUGCAGCUCUAAAUGGGAGGUAAAUUUCUUCUAAAGCUAAAUACUGGCCAGAGACCGAUAGCGCACAAGUAGAGUGAUCGAAAGAUGAAAAGCACUUUGGAAAGAGAGUCAAAAAGCACGUGAAAUUGUUGAAAGGGAAGCGCUUGCAGCCAGACUUGCCUGUAGUUGCUCAUCCGAGCUCCCGCUCGGUGCACUCUUCUGCGGGCAGGCCAGCAUCAGUCCGGGCGGUCGGAUAAAGGCCUCGGGAAUGUAGCUCCCCUCGGGGAGUGUUAUANCCCGGGGUGCCAUGCGACCAGCCUGGACUGAGGUCCGCGCAUCUGCUAGGAUGCUGGCGUAAUGGCUGUAAGCGGC